UACAGAGGUCUCAAGCGUUGUUCGGAUUCAUUGGGCGUAAAGAGCUCGUAGGCGGUUUGUUGCGUCGGCCGUGAAAACCUGCAGCUUAACUGUGGGCCUGCGGUCGAUACGGGCAGACUUGAGUUCGGUAGGGGAGACUGGAAUUCCUGGUGCAGCGGUGAAAUGCGCAGAUAUCAGGAGGAACACCGGUGGCGAAGGCGGGUCUCUGGGCCGAUACUGACGCUGAGGAGCGAAAGCGUGGGGAGCAAACGGG
rnacentral:rRNA from 1 species